UAAAGGUUAAACUGCAAGCAUUGCUGGACAGGCCAGUAGAACUAGCUUUAGUGAGAUCCCAAAGUUUUAAGGAGUUGUCAGUGGAUGCAGUAACCAGAGUUUCAGGGUCCAAGAAUUUCACGAAGCUUACUGCUUUGUCAUGGCCAGCCAAUACACACCAGGGUGUUCUUAAAUUCCGAAGAUCAUAGCAAUAGGUUCUGUAAUCCGCUGACCCAAAUGCCAACAAAUGAGUAGAAUGAGAAGAGAACUGAACACAGCAGACAUUUGCAAUGUUCCUGAUUGUGCCUAAACUAUUUUUCU
rnacentral:misc_RNA from 1 species